CAGUCGCCGCGGUAAUACGGAGGGGGCUAGCGUUGUUCGGAAUUACUGGGCGUAAAGUGCACGUAGGCGGCUUUGUAAGUUAGAGGUGAAAGCCCGGGGCUCAACCCCGGAAUUGCCUUUAAGACAGCAGAGCUAGCAGGUGAGAGAGGUGAGUGGAAUUCCGAGUGUAGAGGUGAAAUUCGUAGAUAUUCGGAAGAACACCAGUGGCGGAGGCGGCUCACUGGCUCAUACUGGACGCUGAGGUGCGAAAGCGUGGGGAGCAAACAGGAUUAGAUACCCGGGUAGUCCCUGUCUCUUAUAC
rnacentral:rRNA from 1 species